rnacentral:rRNA from 1 species
UACGAAGGGGGCUAGCGUUGCUCGGAAUCACUGGGCGUAAAGGGUGCGUAGGCGGGUCUUUUAAGUCAGGGGUGAAAUCCUGGAGCUCAACUCCAGAACUGCCUUUGAUACUGAGGAUCUUGAGUUCGGGAGAGGUGAGUGGAACUGCGAGUGUAGAGGUGAAAUUCGUAGAUAUUCGCAAGAACACCAGCGGCGAAGGCGGCUCACUGGCCCGGUACUGACGCUGAGGUGCGAAAGCGUGGGGAGCAAACAGGG